CUUAUCUUAGAUUUUAUUUGGCUUCAGUGGAACAACAUUAUUAUCUCUUCAUCACCUGAUAUCUACCAGGGUGUUUAUCAAUGAAAUAAUCGAUGGACAAACACAAACACAGUCUGGUGUCAAGUGCCCCCCCACACACACUUUCCAUUCUUGGGCACUAGAAACUGGGUAAUUGAGAUUAGAGUUGGAGACACCAAAGGCGAGAAGACAUCAAUGUUUUGCAUUAAUAAAUCAUUUCAUUUAAAAUAAUGUUACAAUUCAUUACAAUAAGUCAACAAGUUAAAUUACUAAAUGACUUCAGCUUUCAUCAAUUCAACCCUGUGUGGUUCUCUUCAGAUUGUUUUAUUUUCUCAUUUGCUUGAUUUGUCAGACAGGUGAAGAUACUGUAGGAUAAGAGAAGUAGAGCUUGCUUAAUAUCUUAAAUAAAGAGUUGACGAUGAGAGACAGAGGAGUGUUUGAGAGAGAGAUAUCACAGAUUACAGGGCAAGAUAGCAGAGACAUGAUUGACAAGUGAAGCAGCCUAUGGGAGUGAGACAUGAUGAUCCAUUGCGUAACAGCCUAAGCCUGUUGGAGAUUCAGGUCCCAAAUCAAAUCACUCACAGAUACAGGAAAACCCAUUGGUGUAGCGGUGCCUGGAGAAGUGAGUACACCAUCAUUUUGCCAGAAAAAUCUUUCAUAGAAAAACAACAAAUGCAUGUUAAGCCCACAUCAAUGCUUAUACCGCACAAGGAGACCAUUUUUUAGGUCUGGGAAAAAUAUAAAAUACUAUUUUUGGGAGGGUCUAGUUGCCCUUUAAAAUAAUUAAGCAACUAGCCAAAUACCAUGUGGCUCGCAGUGUCUGUACUCUACAAUGUAGGCCUACAGUAGAGUACAUGUGAUUGCAGAGUUUUCAAAAGAAAUGCCCUCCAGAUUGAUACAAUCAUAAUUAUAUCAUGUAGGCCUAAUUUGUAGUCAACAUUUAAAGAUGCACUAUACAGAAAUAGCUCCACCAUUUCCUGGUUGCUAAAAUUCAAAGUUCACCUAAUUUCAGUUUGUGACAAAACAAUAAGUAAUUGUAUAGUCUUUGUACAAUCUCAACCUCUGCAAUACGUUUUCACAUUUCUAUGUGAACUUGUUUGGUUGCACAAAGUUACAUAUGGCAGCUUCCAUUUGAAAGUUUUCCUUGGGAAAGCAUUUGGAAAUGUUCAUUCAAAAACAGCACAUAAUGACUAAUUUUGCACGCCCAAUUUUUCAGUUUUUGAUUAGUUAAAAAAGUUUGAAAUAUCCAAUAAAUAUCGUUCCACUUCAUGAUUGUGUCCAACUUGUUGUUGAUUCUUCACAAAAAAAUACAGUUUUAUAUCUUUAUGUUUGAAGCCUGAAAUGUGGCAAAAGGUCGCAAAGUUCAAGGGGGCCGAAUACUUUCGCAAGGCACUGUACCUCCGUGCAGCUCCUACUACACCACUGUUUAAACCUCAGUGGGGUUUAGGGUGUAUACCUCUGUGUAGCUCCUACUACACCACUGUUUAAAC
ensembl:lncRNA